UGGGGAAUUUUGGACAAUGGGGGCAACCCUGAUCCAGCCAUCCCGCGUGUGCGAUGAAGGCCUUCGGGUUGUAAAGCUCUGUUGAGGGAGAAGAAAACGUUUGGCGUGAAUAACUCCAGACCUUGACGGUAUCCCUUUAGAAAGCACCGGCUAACUCUGUGCCAGCAGCCGCGGUAAGACAGAGGGUGCAAACGUUGCUCGGAAUUACUGGGCGUAAAGCGCGUGUAGGCGGACCAGCAAGUCGGACGUGAAAUUCCUGAGCUCAACUCAGGAACUGCAUCCGAAACUGCUGGUCUGGAGUGGUGGAGAGGGAAGCAGAAUUCCUGGUGUAGAGGUGAAAUUCGUAGAUAUCAGGAGGAACACCGGUGGCGAAGGCGGCUUCCUGGACACUUACUGACGCUGAGACGCGAAAGCGUGGGGAGCAAAC
rnacentral:rRNA from 1 species